rnacentral:tRNA from 1 species
GUCCGGGUGGCGGAAUAGGUAGACGCGCUAGCUUGAGGUGCUAGUGCCCGCAUAGGGCAUGGAGGUUCAAGUCCUCUCUCGGACACCA